UUGAAUAAACUUUUUCAAAGUUUUUUUCAUAUUCCCUGUUUAUAUUAAAUACGUUCCUUCCAUCGGACAGGUCUAUUAGGACCCUCUAGCUUGAGCAAAUGCUUUUGCUGGGGAGUUUGCCGGUGGCGUUUCUAAAAACUUUUGUUAUAUUAUGAAAUGUCUGAAUAUAUUUUUUAAAUAAAAUA
rnacentral:misc_RNA from 1 species